CUCUAGCCGAAAUUUACCCUUCUCGCAAUGUUCAUCAUAUGUUAUCUUUAUUCAUCCUUAAACUCAUCCCAAAGGCCCGUUUUGAUUUAACAAAAACACCAAAAUUCUUUCCAAAACUGUUUUUUAAGAUCAAAAACCAAAUUCCAUUCUUGUUCUUUUAUAACUAAAAAAAUUACCAACUUUCUUUUUUCUCUUCAAGUAAAAAAAAAACCAAGAAUCUUUUCCAAAAGAAAACCUAAAAGGCUCUUGAAUCUAAUCUACAAUAAAUCACGGUUUCAAGAGAAACCACCCAUCUUCAACCACCUAAACUACCCGAAAAACAAAACCGAACGCGACUGCCGCCCACCAAAAGCACUGCCAGCUAACGUAACCUCCCCCGUCGAUGACCCCUUAAACUCUUGGCCAAGCCCUUUUUUUAACCUGAAACAAAACCACAACAAAAGAAAAAAUAAAAAGGAGGAGCUCACCCUAAAAAUAGACUCUGAACGACGCUGGUGAACGGUGGUGGACGACGACAAAGUGACUGGUGAGGUGGAGGAGAGGCGACAGCAACGACGGUGGCGAGACAAGGAAGAUGAAGAGUACACGUGCAGGUGACGCGUCGAUGAGCUCUCCGAUACUGGUGAUGCGCCUGUGGAGGGGAACCAAUAGUCACCUUUUGAUGGAGUCUUCUUGGCCAUUGGAUUUCACCUUGAUCUAAUGGUUGAAAAGCAUUUGUGUUUGUUAGCAUAGAUCGAUGACGUGGUAAGCUCCAAGCCCUUGGAUCCAAUUUUUUAUCAAGGGUCCAUAUUAGUUCGUGUUGUUUGAAAAGGAUCCAUAAAAUAAGAACCCUUUGAUGAAGGCUUAUCGAUGAGAUUUGUUUGUGCUUUUGUCACUUGGAUU